rnacentral:rRNA from 1 species
GCGCGAAAACUUCGCACUGUGCGAAAGCACGACGAGGGGAUCCCAAGUGCUGGCUCGUUAGAGUCAGCUGUUUUUCUGUCUAAAAAACAGAGAGAGUAAGGGCUGGGUAAGACGGGUGCCAGCCGCCGCGGUAAUACCUGCAGCCCAAGUGGUGGUCUGUAUUAUUGGGCCUAAAACGUCCGUAGCCGGUUCUGUAAAUGCCUGGGUAAAUCGUGUAGCUUAACUAUACGAAUUCCGGGUAGACUGCAGGACUUGAGAUCGGGAGAAGCUAGAGGUACUCCGGGGGUAGAGGUGAAAUUCUGUAAUCCUCGGGGGACCACCAGUGGCGAAGGCGUCUAGCUAGAACGAGUCUGACGGUCUGGGACGAAGCCCUGGGGCGCAAACGGGAUUAGAUACCCCGGUAGUCCAGGGUGUAAACGCUGCUCGCUUGAUGUUAGCUGGGCUCCGAGCCCAGCUAGUGUCGGAGAGAAGUUGUUAAGCGAGCUGCCUGGGAAGUACGGUCGCAAGACUGAAACUUAAAGGAUUGGC